rnacentral:rRNA from 2 species
GUCGAACGAACUCUGGUAUUGAUUGGUGCUUGCAUCAUGAUUUACAUUUGAGUGAGUGGCGAACUGGUGAGUAACACGUGGGAAACCUGCCCAGAAGCGGGGGAUAACACCUGGAAACAGAUGCUAAUACCGCAUAACAACUUGGACCGCAUGGUCCGAGUUUGAAAGAUGGCUUCGGCUAUCACUUUUGGAUGGUCCCGCGGCGUAUUAGCUAGAUGGUGGGGUAACGGCUCACCAUGGCAAUGAUACGUAGCCGACCUGAGAGGGUAAUCGGCCACAUUGGGACUGAGACACGGCCCAAACUCCUACGGGAGGCAGCAGUAGGGAAUCUUCCACAAUGGACGAAAGUCUGAUGGAGCAACGCCGCGUGAGUGAAGAAGGGUUUCGGCUCGUAAAACUCUGUUGUUAAAGAAGAACAUAUCUGAGAGUAACUGUUCAGGUAUUGACGGUAUUUAACCAGAAAGCCACGGCUAACUACNUGCCAGCAGCCGCGGUAAUACGUAGGUGGCAAGCGUUGUCCGGAUUUAUUGGGCGUAAAGCGAGCGCAGGCGGUUUUCUGUUUUUUAAGUCUGAUGUGAAAGCCUUCGGCUCAACCGAAGAAGUGCAUCGGAAACUGGGAAACUUGAGUGCAGAAGAGGACAGUGGAACUCCAUGUGUAGCGGUGAAAUGCGUAGAUAUAUGGAAGAACACCAGUGGCGAAGGCGGCUGUCUGGUCUGUAACUGACGCUGAGGCUCGAAAGUAUGGGUAGCAAACAGGAUUAGAUACCCUGGUAGUCCAUACCGUAAACGAUGAAUGCUAAGUGUUGGAGGGUUUCCGCCCUUCAGUGCUGCAGCUAACGCAUUAAGCAUUCCGCCUGGGGAGUACGGCCGCAAGGCUGAAACUCAAAGGAAUUGACGGGGGCCCGCACAAGCGGUGGAGCAUGUGGUUUAAUUCGAAGCUACGCGAAGAACCUUACCAGGUCUUGACAUACUAUGCAAAUCUAAGAGAUUAGACGUUCCCUUCGGGGACAUGGAUACAGGUGGUGCAUGGUUGUCGUCAGCUCGUGUCGUGAGAUGUUGGGUUAAGUCCCGCAACGAGCGCAACCCUUAUUAUCAGUUGCCAGCAUUAAGUUGGGCACUCUGGUGAGACUGCCGGUGACAAACCGGAGGAAGGUGGGGAUGACGUCAAAUCAUCAUGCCCCUUAUGACCUGGGCUACACACGUGCUACAAUGGAUGGUACAACGAGUUGCGAACUCGCGAGAGUAAGCUAAUCUCUUAAAGCCAUUCUCAGUUCGGAUUGUAGGCUGCAACUCGCCUACAUGAAGUCGGAAUCGCUAGUAAUCGCGGAUCAGCAUGCCGCGGUGAAUACGUUCCCGGGCCUUGUACACACCGCCCGUCACACCAUGAGAGUUUGUAACACCCAA